rnacentral:rRNA from 1 species
GGGAGGACAGGUGGUGGCAUGGUUGUCGUCAGCUCGUGUCGUGAGAUGUUGGUUAAGUCCCGCAACGAGCGCAACCCCUACGUUUAGUUGCUAACGCGUGAAGGCGAGCACUCUAGACGAACUGCCGUUGACAAAACGGAGGAAGGUGGGGAUGACGUCAAAUCAUCAUGCCCCCUUAUGUUCUGGGCUACACACGUGCUACAAUGGCCGGUACAGACGGACGCAAAGCCGCGAGGUGGAGCAAAUCCGAAAAAGCCGGUCUCAGUUCGGAUUGCAGGCUGCAAUUCGCCUGCAUGAAGUCGGAAUCGCUAGUAAUCGCAGGUCAGCAUACUGCGGUGAAUACGUUCCCGGGCCUU